rnacentral:rRNA from 1 species
GACAGAGGUGCCGAGCGUUAGGCGGAAUCACUGGGCUUAAAGCGUGUGUAGGCGGGUCGUUAAGUAACUUGUGAAAUCCCCCGGCUCAACCGGGGAAUGGCUGGGUAUACUGGCGAUCUUGAGCGAUCCAGGGGCAGAUGGAACAAGUGGUGGAGCGGUGAAAUGCGUAGAUAUCACUUGGAACGCCAAAGGUGAAGACAGUCUGCUGGGGAUCUGCUGACGCUGAGACACGAAAGCCAGGGGAGCGAACGGG